AUUGAACGCUGGCGGCAUGCUUUACACAUGCAAGUCGAACGGUAACAGGCCGCAAGGUGCUGACGAGUGGCGAACGGGUGAGUAAUGCAUCGGAACGUGCCCAGUCGUGGGGGAUAACGCAGCGAAAGCUGUGCUAAUACCGCAUACGAUCUAUGGAUGAAAGCGGGGGACCGUAAGGCCUCGCGCGAUCGGAGCGGCCGAUGUCAGAUUAGGUAGUUGGGGGGGUAAAGGCUCACCAAGCCAACGAUCUGUAGCUGGUCUGAGAGGACGACCAGCCACACUGGGACUGAGACACGGCCCAGACUCCUACGGGAGGCAGCAGUGGGGAAUUUUGGACAAUGGGCGCAAGCCUGAUCCAGCAAUGCCGCGUGCAGGAAGAAGGCCUUCGGGUUGUAAACUGCUUUUGUACGGAACGAAACGGCGAGCUCUAAUACAGUUUGCUAAUGACGGUACCGUAAGAAUAAGCACCGGCUAACUACGUGCCAGCAGCCGCAGUAACAC
rnacentral:rRNA from 1 species